CACAUCUUCACGAUCUCAAAGUCGUUGAAACCGUUUAUCGUCCUCCACAUAUUUAUUUCACGAGGAACUCAAACUCUUAUUUUUGCUCUUUGAAAUUUUGAUUCCUUAAACUCUCUCCCCAACGCCUCAUAACCGUUUCUUCUCACGGCGACUGUUAUGCAGUGGAGCUGUCGCUUAUAUUUCCCGAGAUAUAUAUGUCUCGGUCUGCUCUGUCUGCGAUUCUCUCACAAAAUGAGCCUCCUCCAAUUCCCACUGUAUAGUCGUCAGCGACAAGUUCCUACGCCACCCACUCCCGGUAUACGAGUACAUCCACUGGAGAUUGGAUUCGAUCUAUGUUCCAUGAAAAUCAGUAUAUUUGGAGAUCCCGAACAAAGGAAAAGCAACUAUUGCUAGGUAUUUUUUUGUGGAGGUUAUAAGGUCAAAGGGAGUGAGACUGGAUGGAUACCAAGAAAGAAGUCAAGAAGCAUAGAGCAAAGACUUAAGCUACGUGAGGAAAAGACGGUGGCAAAAUGAGAGCAACGAUUAAGAAGGUGACUAUAAAAUCCAACAAAAAGUCUCCAUAAAUAUGGAGUAGGAAACCAAGAAGAAGGCUUAGACUUAGAGGCUACAUAAAUGCAAGUAAAUAAGAAUAAAAAAGUUGAUGGUUAAUAAAAGUCCAACGAUAUCAUAUUAGAAAGGAUUCUUUCACUGAAAGCAAUGGUAACAGCACCAAAGAUGACGUUUAAACCCACAAGGAUUACUUGAAUACUUCUGAUGGAAAUCCAUUGUGCAUCAAGAGAAAUGUUGGGUCUGUGACACAUACAUGAGAAUGAGACACUACGACACCUUGCUCAAAGACACAUACGUUGGUACUAAUUAUUGCCCUUUUAUUCUCAUAUUCUCUGACUUUUCUACUAAUUACAAAUUGUAUUCUUUUGUUGUCGGCUUACAAAGUGAGUAAAACACAAUCAGCCCAAAGAUAGCCAAAAAAUGAUUUCAUGUUCAGUUAUUUUAAAUAAACAAAUCAUGUUGUAACUGCAUAUAUAUCUAUCGAUCACGUAUUCAUCA